CCUGCCGCCGCUCGCCGCCUCUUUGUCUGCUCCGGGACUGGGAACAAAGGGGGGAACUCUGAUGAACUCUCCUCCCCUCGCCCCGGACGCCCGGGUAUCUCCCUCUAGCAACUUUGCAGCCUCGACUUUCUGCGCUGUCAGGCCACACGAAAGUGUCCGCGCGCCUCGCGGACUGCAACAGGGGAACGUCUCUGAAAAGUGUGACCAAGUGGGAAGAAGGUGUAAUUAUUCUUAUCAGCAUCCAGAAAGCAUCAAGCAGUGCAUUGUACUUACGGGAUCUUUCUAUCAGUGAACAUUAUGGAAGUACCGAUACAACAUCAUGUCAUUCCUGGAUGAAAAGUGAUCGAACUUCUUCGUUUGGAGUUACAUAAAAGUUAAAGUGUUGGGAUUUUUGAUGAUGGCUUCCCUGUGUGGAUUACUACAGUUUGAUCACUGGGAAUUCUCCACCUUAAGGAAGGUGUGAAUCAUGGUGACACAGUGAGAGACGGUGAUUAACUGCUUUGGGGGGCAUGCGUGUGUAUGAUUAAGGGAUGUAAGUGCAGGACUCCAGGAUUUACUUCCUUCCUGUUCCAGCGGGGAUAGCCGAGGAGAGUGAGUAAUGGGAUAAUUUAUAACACCACAGGCCCUUUAUCAAGAGACCUCUAGUCAAAACAGGAAGAUAAAACUCAGAUUUCAAGAGAGCGAAUACAACUUUGGUCCUCUGGACACACUCCUUUGCAAGCAGUAGAGUCUUCAGAGUUUUCGUUUUACUUUUUCAAGAUUUCCAUAAAAAAAGGUCAUUCCUGGUGGUCUCCCUGAACAUCCUGCUCAACCGCCCCUCGUCCGUGGAAAGCUGUUCUCUGUUGUCCACCCCCCCGACGCCCUCAAAACUAACAGACAGAAAAGGGAAAUGGCUAAUGGAAUCGAGCUGCGCUUUUCUUUUUUCUUUUUUCUUUUCUUUUUUUUUUUUUAUACUGAAACCAGAUCGUGUUUGCUCCCAGCUCCAGGGCUGCAUCGCCGUGGGCACUCCAUCCUCCCCGGUUACCUGAGCUGCACCUGAUGCCUCCCGCCUUGCCGUGCCAGGUGCACCCGCACCGGACUCCUGGUCUGCGCAGUGCCAACAAGGACCUGCUUCUGGAGCUCUGGCCGGGGCCCCUCGCGGCUGGAGGAGGGGACUUGGAGGACAGGGCGAAGCUGCACAAGAGCCGGGGUGGGACGGAUAGAAAGGAUGCCAAGGACCGGGCAAGGGCAAGUUAGGAAUACUGUCCAUCCAGUGCCCACCGCUCCUCCACUGGGCAAGGGCAGAGCAGCCCUGCUGUGGGCACCCGGCUCGGGCUACUCCUGGAGCUUAGUCCGGGGGUAAACCUAUGCCGAGAUGUGGCAUUGUACCUGAGAGUGGAGCUGAAGAUGGAUAAAGCAGGUAUCUGGUGUAUCUGCCUGACGAGGCAGUUGGAGAAAGGAAGGCAGAAUGAGGAGUGGAUGAAAAGAAAGAGGAGCUGCCGAAUGCUGUUUGUCUGCCGCCGGCUCUGCGUUUUCAUUCUAGGGAGGAUGGCAUAAUAUAUAACCCGGUACAUGGAUGAAGGACCUGUAAAUUGUAGCCUGGAUGUCCCCGGCGCUGACAAGGGAGAAACUGAUGGGCUAGGUGACUGUACCAGCGUCCCCAGAGAAAAUAGCAGCCUUGCAGCAUGGAUUUAAAUGCAUGUGCAUGCAUGUAGAGACGUGAAAAAAGAUUUCUGACCAUUUUACACAGGAAGUCUGUCACUUUGCUGGAUCAGGCUUGAUUGCAGCUUGUAUUUUCAGCUUCAGCUCAACUCCCAUUUCCUGACUAGCUAGAGUGCAUGGCCAAAGCAGCUGCAUGCGGCAUUUUCUUGUUAAAGUGAAAGCAAGCCCUUCAGCUUUAACUCCUUGACGUUCUGAGUGCUCUGAGCUUUGCUGGGACUGAUUGUGGGGUUUUGUUUUCUUCUUUUUUCUACAAAUCCCUGUAACCACAGCUGUAUUCAGUAUGGUGAAAAAUUCUAUCCUGUAAAUAGAAAUCUGAUCGAUUUAAUCAGCAUAAAUGUAUCCCAGAUGACUUUGAGACUAGCCGGCUACCACAGGCUUCAGAUGCUAAAUGCUCAAUAGAGAUGAGUGCACUGUAAUAGUUACAUGUUUUAGAAUUCCAGGAUCAGCCUAUAAUUAAAAAAUAAAUGCUUUUCUAAGGACGAGAGAUGAUCCGACCGGCUCCCAGCUAGAUGGUUAAGUACAGGUGCGCAUGCUGUUGGUGAGGUUUGACGGGUGCGUGCCAUGUGGCAGAGUAUGGCCGCAGUCGAUGAAGAGAAAGCGUGCAUCUAACUUGCUGUAGGGAGAGGCCAGUGCCCUCAGAACAGCCUCUCAUGAGGUUGAAGGAGGCACUGAGGCGGCUUUUGGAUUCAGAUGAGUGAGCUGUGGUGCUCCAGCCUCAGCCUGGUGGAGUCGGCUCAGACCUGGAGAUGAGGAGCUUUCACAGUUGUCAUGGGGAGCUCUGCUGGGACGCCUGUCUGGCCCUUCCACUGUUUGUUACUGUUUCUACAAAGGCAGCUCUGUGUGUUGGAUUAUGUUUGGCCAGCUGUUGACGCAUUCCUGCGGGUGGGGCCGGGUGAGGAUCUUAUUACUGUAGUUCCAAACUGUAGAUCUGUGUGCAUGGGAGUCAGGAGGGAAGGGAAAGAAAGCAAGUUGGAGAAUCAGAUCACUCUCGCCGCUUUCUGCAGAUAGUCCUAGAGUGAAUCCAGAAAGGCUUACAGUGGAAAGAAGGAAGGUGGGAUUAAUGGGGGGGGGGGCUGAAGGAAAGAGAAUGAAGCUUAGCAAGCUCAUAAGAGAAAAACAGACUUAGAACUUCAAAGCUGCAUAGAGAAGCAGAAUGUCAGCAGCUUGUAAUUAGCGGUUCACGGUUGCGUCAGUGACUAUCUCUCUCCAAGAAUAACUAUGUGAUGUGUGCCACAAAGUGAAGAAGAUAGUCAUAACUAAGUUAUCAAACCCAGUUCAAACAAGGGCAAAUGGAUUAAGGAAUUUUCUAUGUUUGUAAGUCAAAUACUGAUGGGUUACACAUAGAAGACUUGCUGAAUUCUGCAUAAUUGAAGGAUGAAAAUUCAAUUGGUUGGGGGGGUAUGUUCAUUAAAUAAAAACUAUGAACCCUUAAAAAUGCAGAUUAAUCAUGCAGGAAAAUAUCAUUGCGAGCCCCAUCAAUUUAUUUCCCUGAAGAGCCCAAAACAGCACCGCCAAUUUCUUAUCUCUGCAUCCACACAUAAUUUUUGUUCAUUUAUGUGCAUUACAAUGGAGAGGAGUCAAAAGUGACAGUCAAAGAGAUACGGUCAAUUAGAUUAUAAAACUCCCAUUUUAGAAUUCCAAGCUGUCUGUGGAGGUCUGAUUUUUGUUGCUAGCCCAAGUUUAAACGGUGAGGAAGCCUUGGUUGUCUUGAAGCCAAGCAGCAGUCUGUUAGUAACCCCGUGGGAAGUCAGGACACCACCGUGGUUGAGAUCUGAAGGCCACAUUUACUUGCCUCCCUUGUCUCUCUCUUGUGCUUGGAGAUUUUGGUUCAACUACAGCCCCCACAAAGAGAUGGUGGGAGGAGCUGAUUGGUUGGUAGGCUAGAAUGUUUACUCUUAUUUGUUUUCAGUGCUCCUCCACAGCAUUCAUUUUAUAUUUGUAUUUGUGUUCACGCUGCACAAUUACUCCUAACCCGCUUUGUUUCUCCGCCCGAAAAAAGUCAAUUUUAGUUCAGCUCCAUGCCUUUGGCUUCCUGGGUAGUAUGUGUAUAUGUAUUAUUGGCUUACCCAUGUAUGCAUUUCCCCUUUUAAUGUGGAUUAGGGAAAAGUGUAGGCAGAGAAAGCUGUGUAUAUUAAAUCAACAGCUUUUUGAAUCACAUGUAAUAUAAUUUAAAUAUACUUACUUUGACGUUGCCAAAGCUGACAUUGUCUGAGCCCGUUUAAUUUACAUCUUCGAUUUAGUCAAGAAGCGGAACCUGCCAGAUCAGAAUAGGGUAUUCUCUGCACCCAACAGGGUGGAAGACAUUAUGUUGUUUGUGUUAGUUCAAACAGCUGGUCAUUAAUGCAGUCCCCAUUUCUAGAGUGAAGUGCUGGUGGACGUGAUGGCUGCCUGAUUAAUGCUGCCCCUCCGCCGGUCCUUCACCCAGCAGUCCUGCUCACAGCAGAAUAAUGUAGCAUGAUGUGAUUGCACUCUAACAGGGUAGUAUGUCAUUGUGUCACCAAGCAAUUGAGGUUAUUAUGGGGCAGGGCAGACAGACGGGACAGUGGGGUUAGUAGACCGUAGCAUUUUUAGAAAUACAGGCCUGACCUACUUAGAGUUAUUCUCUCUGGCUGGCAGCUGCAUGGUACAUAACGUCUCUGAUAGGCUGAGGCUGUUGCUAGGGGCAUUAGCAUGAAUUUUUCCACACACAGACUUAGUGACUGAAUGGUAAGAGCUGACUGGAAUUAAAGAGAUUUGGUUUAGUAUUAUACAGAUUUAUCUGCCUCGUUUUUCUUUCUCAAGUGCAGAGAAAGGGUGAAAAAUACAGAUUUUGUUCCCAUUUGUUCUCUGACCUUCUUGUUCUCCCCACUCCCUACCCUGCAAGAGGUAGGAGGAGAGGAGAACAGGACAGUUAUAACGUUUUGGUUAAUCUCUUACUGUUGGGGUCGUUGAAACAAUGUUGCAAAUUGCGAGAUAUUUAAGCUUAAAGACUGCUGGGAAUGACUAACAGAAGGUUAGAUUAUUUUUCCUCUUCUGUGCACUAAGCUGUUUGAAGUUGGGCGUGCAUCUUUCAUACACUGUAUAUUUAAACUCUUUUUCCCUUUUGGACUUGAACAAAACAUUUAUAUAAAUUCUUUUCUAUCCAAACAGAUUGAAGCUUGCACUCUCUGGCUUGUUUAAAAUAAGGUAGUAAGGAUUCCAGAUUUAGACAGGAAAAUGUAUAUAUACCCUUUUUUAUUAUAAAAUAUUUUUUUUCUGGGCUAUUUUGGGUUUGGCUCGUUUUUCAAAAGCUAGCCUAAUGUUUAUGUUCAUAGAUAAAACUUCACUGCUCCCACCGUACCCUCUUUGCUUCACAAUGUACAGAAAGACAUGGAUUUUUCUCCAGAAGAAAGAAUAUCUGCAGAAUUUAUCUGGAGAUUGUUUUUCCUUGAUGCUGACAUAUGCACUGCAUGCAGAAAGCUCACAUAAUCAAUUUUAUAAGAUGACCCAUUUUUUUCCCUCCUUCUGUAUUCUCUGAGUAUCUGUGUGUUUGUGAUUUUUAAUAGCUCUUUUCUAAAGGUGGAUUUUUAAUAGAUCUUUCAAAGCAAUCUGAAAAUCUAUCAGGAGAAAAUUAAAGAAAUGUGUAGUCAAGAAUACUUUUAUUUUUCCUGUUCUUAAUUGUAUACUAUCUGUGCUUAAACCACAGUGGCCUUUUCUUACCUUUUACUGCUGAAAGGAAUCAUUAUCCUGUCUUUUUGAUUUGAAAUUAAUUUUUGUAAGAACAUACUGUUAUAUCCCAAGUACACAAGAAGCUUGGCUACCUGAGGGAGAAGAAUAAAGGUAGAUUCUUGUGAGAUUGUAACAUUGGAUUGAUUUCUUGGUCACAUGAAAAAAGACAAGAGAAUAUUUAGGUGUGGAUUUUUCUUUUCAUUUAGGUUUUUAAAAACAUUCAGAACUAUUUAGAUAUGUGUGUUUCCAUAAAGUAAUUUCCACUUACACCAGAGACCACAGUCAAAACAAACAAACAAAUACUCUAAUGGCGUCAGAGCCAAGAAAUCCAUCAAUAUUCUUUUUUUUAACCCAGCAGCAGUAUUUACGUUUCAGCAUAUAAAUAUAUCUUAUCAAGCAAAAAUAGAGGGUAUUUUCUGAUGUUGUAAUUGAUAUUUCCUAUAUUUACUAGCUUUGAGAAUCCCGAAAAUAACAUUUAUUGUAAAGGUUUCCAACCAUACUAACAGUCUUUCUUAACUGAAUAAAAUGUCAAUUUAUAUUUGUUGAAUAAAAGAUUACCUUGGUGUGCUGCUCCUUCCAAGAUGGAGCAAUUUCAUUUAUUAUUUUAGUAAGUGAACAUUUUCACUCUUAGUCUAUGCUACUUACUUGGCUUAGGUCAUUGGACAAUCAUUUAAAUAUUUAAGUUCAAAGUUAUGGAAAUAAAUGUCACUUUAAAAUCACUUAAGUAAGGGAAAAUGUUAGCAUAAAUGUAUUAACAUUUGUUAAAGGACAGAUGCCUACUUUGUAUGUUGAGUACAGCCUGUGUCCAGGUACCCAAUGAGAUCCAGUGUUUAUUGUUUGAUUAAUAAUAAAUGGAUCACACUGAAACUGUUGAGGGUCUUAUUUGGUUGUUUAGGUUGGUAAGAAUUUUUCAUUGUUGUGGCUUUCAUCCAUUAUUAGAGAGGUAAAUAUUAAGUAGGUCAAAAACAAAAACAAGAUAAGCAUAUUUUAAAAUGUCAUUUAUGCUGUCUUGGCUGUAUCGUUAAGCUUAACUUCUAGAUACUCACUUUGACAAUGUAUAUCCAUAGUAUUUAUGUCAUCUGUGGCCAUUGAUUAAAAAAAAAAAGGAGCCAUCACCCUCAAUCAUGGCAACAAUCACUUAUUCAUUAGGUAAGUGUUUAUUUUCUG